AAUCUUGGGGAAUUUGAAGUUUUACGCUGAUGCUGAUGAAAUUUCGGCUUUAACAUUCAUUUUGGUGACAUCCAAUUAGAAAAUCUCAGCUCUACAUCCAAAAAUACCUCGUUCCAGAUUUGCAAAUAAGAAUUUUUUUGAAGCUAAUCUCGAUGCUUAGAGCAACUCAUACGGCGUGGAGCUAAAACCAUCCAUAACUCAAUGACUCCAUAUAUAUUCGCGGACCCUCAGGAUUUUGUGGAGUCAAAAGCUACUGUGGUAAAACUAAACUGAUUCUCCUCCAUCCGACUACUCCAAUGUCCGGAUACCCAUACGACCACCCAAUGUCCGGAUACCCAUCCGACCACCCAAUGACCGGAUAACAUUUCCUUUUUAAUUUAACAAAAAACUCACAAAAAGCUUCUUUCCUUCCAUUUUUCAUCGAGAAAAAAAUGGUUCUUCCCGAGUUUCGCCUUCUCUGAUUUAUCUUCAGUUUCGUUGAUUUACUGCUCUGAUUCAUCUUGGUUUAUUGCUUCUUGGAGAAAACAAAUCCAAAAUAUUCUCUACUUCUUCAUAGAAGAUCUCCAAUGUCAUCAGAAGUACGAUUGGAGCAUGACCGUUCCAAAUUCUGAUGGUGAUCCGAUGUCUAUCCCAGUUAGUCCUCGUGUUCCUAACACCUCAUGGAGCGUAGACAUGCAUCCAUUGUACUGUUGUUGUGAAUGCCCACUACUUUCUUUGUAGUUGUUUGACAAACUUAAGUCAUUUUCACGGGCCUAACAAAUCCGGGGAAGCCUACCCAUUUAAGAUCUUCAAACGGUACAAAAUGGAUUGGUGGGCGUAUUAGCAUCGAUGUUAAAUUUGACAGUGUUUAUUUUGGAUCUGGUAUCUUUGUGAAAUGAACUUUAUGCAAACUAGUUUCUGUAUCUGUGAAGGGAUUCAAUUUGCUUCAUUAUUGAACAAUUUGCUUCAUUACUGAACUGUCCUGCAAUGACUUCAUAUUAUGAGUGGAUAUGUAGAUAAUCCUUUAGCUGAAAUCUGUUUGUGAGGGUAUCCAAUGGCUCAUCUGAAUUCAUUAACAUACCAAUGCAUGAGGCGCUUCGCGAAGACUUAUGUGCACAUAUUUGGGCAAGGCAUGGGGCAGAGGAGGCAAACUGAAUUCUGGAAACUGCAAUUUUUGUUGCUGUUGCGUCUCUGUUUAUUGUGGCUAGCACUUGUAGUAGAAAUUCUCGCUCUGUAUGCAUUCAGUCUGUGAUCAUGUUGUCUUAUGCUCAGUUCGAGAAGUUGAAUUCAUUUCUGAAGUAUAUAUACAUCCAGAAGUCUAGUUGGAUACUGUUGGGUUUUAAUCUUGUAAUUCCAUAUUUUGUGGCA